CCGCCUCCUCCGUCCACCUCUCCUCCAUCGACCUGCAAUUCCUCCCCCAGCCACGCUUCCGCAGGUCGGCCUGCACCACCUCCUCUGCCAGACCUGCAGCGUGGUCGACCUGCACCACCUCCUCUGGCCGACCUACAGCGCUUCAGCCACCGUGGCCAGCCUGCACCAUCUCCUCUGGCCGACCUGCAGCACCUCAACCACCACGGAAAACAGCAGCUCAUCACCUCGCGGUGGCGCCUCGACCCUACCGGGUGGUCGGCCCACACUCGACGACCUGCAGCGCCGCCGGAGCGCGCAGGAGCGUGGCCGGCUAGGGAGAAAGCCCGCAGCAUGGCAUGGCAGAGUUGGAGUGGUGCACGAGCUGACGGGAUUCUAUUUUCUCUCUGGUGGCUCAUACCAGAUCAGUUGAGGUGGCCAUACAACCUCUUCUCUAAUUUCCGGUGACACUCUUGCCGUGCUGCUGGAGUUGUCCACGGAUUGCCCAUUUUUGCAUUCGGCCGCCAGUGACAUGGGUUUUUUUUUAGUUUGGCUGGUACAUGCUGCUCCCGGUUGAGGCUGCCAUGGGAAGGUGCACUUUUAAACAUGCAGUAAUUGUUGCAGGCUGGUUGGUUUGAUGGAUGAGUUGUCAGGUCAUUUUUACGGUUUAACAGGAUCAGCUAGCAAAUUCGCCAAGGC